rnacentral:tRNA from 1 species
UAAACGGAUAGCUUAAAAUUUAAAGUGCGACACUGAAGAUGUUGAGAUAGAGAAUUCUUCUGUUUAU